UACGGGGGGGCUAGCGUUGUUCGGAAUUACUGGGCGUAAAGCGCACGUAGGCGGCUUUGUAAGUUAGAGGUGAAAGCCCGGGGCUCAACUCCGGAAUUGCCUUUAAGACUGCAUCGCUAGAAUUGUGGAGAGGUGAGUGGAAUUCCGAGUGUAGAGGUGAAAUUCGUAGAUAUUCGGAAGAACACCAGUGGCGAAGGCGACUCACUGGACACAUAUUGACGCUGAGGUGCGAAAGCGUGGGGAGCAAACAGG
rnacentral:rRNA from 1 species